rnacentral:siRNA from 1 species
GGAUUGAGGUUAUCGUUUGAUGG